rfam:Picea glauca, whole genome shotgun sequence.
AAGCUAAGGAUGAGAUAUACUCGGAUUCCCCUUCAGGACAUUAUGGAUGAUGCCAUUCGAGUUUCUGAUGCU